rnacentral:rRNA from 1 species
CCCUACGGGGCGCAGCAGUGGGGGAUAUUGCACAAUGGGGGAAACCCUGAUGCAGCGACGCCGCGUGAGUGAAGAAGUAUUUCGGUAUGUAAAGCUCUAUCGGCAGGGAAGAAAAAAAUGACAGUACCUGACUAAGAAGCCCCGGCUAACUACGUGCCAGCAGCCGCGGUAAUACGUAGGGGGCAAGCGUUAUCCGGAUUUACUGGGUGUAAAGGGAGCGCAGGCGGCGCGGUAAGUCUGAUGUGAAAGCCCGGGGCUCAACCCCGGGACUGCAUUGGAAACUGUCGUGCUGGAGUGUCGGAAGG